UACGAAGGGGGCUAGCGUUGUUCGGAUUUACUGGGCGUAAAGCGCACGUAGGCGGAUCGUUAAGUCGGGGGUGAAAUCCUGGAGCUCAACUCCAGAACUGCCUUCGAUACUGGCGAUCUUGAGUCCGGAAGAGGUGAGUGGAACUCCUAGUGUAGAGGUGGAAUUCGUAGAUAUUAGGAAGAACACCAGUGGCGAAAGGCGGCUCACUGGUCCGGUACUGACGCUGAGGUGCGAAAGCGUGGGGAGCAAACAGG
rnacentral:rRNA from 1 species